rnacentral:lncRNA from 1 species
CUGGUCCAUAUAAUUCUUCGUACGCAGCGGCUAUUUCAUCUUCAGACUCCUGAGGUCCGUCGUCGAAAGAUGGCGGAGGGAUGAAGUCUUCCGGUUUUUCCGGAGGGUCGAAGGUCGUGAUUUCAUCUGGGUCUACAUUGUCGAAGUAUGUGGUGUCGAUAUCGGUAGACUGCGCUCUGAUGGAGGGGAAAUUUAGGGGUUUUGGGAGGGAGAGAGAGUUGGGUAGUUGGUGAGUGGGGAGGAGAGAGAAGCGGCGGAGAGAGAGGGAGGAGAAGGUGGAGGAGAGGGAGGAAGUAAAAGAGGCAGCCAUGGUUAUGGUCGAAGAGAAGGUCGAAGAGGAUA